rnacentral:rRNA from 1 species
UACGAAGGGAGCUAGCGUUGUUCGGAAUCACUGGGCGUAAAGCGCACGUAGGCGGAUUUGUCAGUCAGGGGUGAAAUCCCGGGGGCUCAACCUCGGAACUGCCUUUGAUACAGCAAGUCUUGAGUUCGAGAGAGGUGGGUGGAAUUCCUAGUGUAGAGGUGAAAUUCGUAGAUAUUAGGAAGAACACCGGUGGCGAAGGC